UACAGAGGUCUCAAGCGUUGUUCGGAUUCAUUGGGCGUAAAGGGUGCGUAGGUGGCGCCGUAAGUCAGGUGUGAAAUUUCGGAGCUUAACUCCGAAACUGCAUUUGAUACUGCGGUGCUUGAGGACUGGAGAGGAGACUGGAAUUUACGGUGUAGCAGUGAAAUGCGUAGAGAUCGGGAAGAACAUCGGUGGCGAAGGCGCUCUACUGGACCACAACUGACACUCAGGGACGAAAGCUAGGGGAGCGAAUGGG
rnacentral:rRNA from 1 species